UACGGGGGGGGCAAGCGUUGUUCGGAAUUACUGGGCGUAAAGGGCUCGUAGGCGGCCAACUAAGUCGGACGUGAAAUCCCCGGGCUCAACCCGGGAACUGCGUCCGAUACUGACAGGCUUGAAUCCGGGAGAGGGAUGUGGAAUUCCAGGUGUAGCGGUGAAAUGCGUAGAUAUCUGGAGGAACACCGGUGGCGAAGGCGGCAUCCUGGACCGGCAUUGACGCUGAGGCGCGAAAGCCAGGGGAGCAAACGGG
rnacentral:rRNA from 1 species